rnacentral:rRNA from 1 species
UCCUACGGGAGGCAGCAGUGGGGAAUAUUGCACAAUGGGCGCAAGCCUGAUGCAGCAACGCCGCGUGAGGGACGAAGGCCUUCGGGUUGUAAACCUCUUUUAGUAGGGAAGAAGCGACUGGGUUUUCCUGGGAGUGACGGUACCUGCAGAAAAAGCACCGGCUAACUACGUGCCAGCAGCCGCGGUAAUACGUAGGGUGCAAGCGUUGUCCGGAAUUAUUGGGCGUAAAGAGCUCGUAGGCGGUUUGUCGCGUCUGCUGUGAAAACCCGAGGCUCAACCUCGGGCCUGCAGUGGGUACGGGCAGACUAGAGUGCGGUAGGGGAGAUUGGAAUUCCUGGUGUAGCGGUGGAAUGCGCAGAUAUCAGGAGGAACACCAAUGGCGAAGGCAGAUCUCUGGGCCGUAACUGACGCUGAGGAGCGAAAGCAUGGGGAGCGAACAGGAUUAGAUACCCUGGUAGUCCAUGCCGUAAACGUUGGGAACUAGAUGUGGGGACCAUUCCACGGUCUCCGUGUCGCAGCUAACGCAUUAAGUUCCCCGCCUGGGGAGUACGGCCGCAAGGCUAAAACUCAAAGGAAUUGACGGGGGCCCGCACAAGCGGCGGAGCAUGCGGAUUAAUUCGAUGCAACGCGAAGAACCUUACCAAGGCUUGACAUAUACCGGAAACGGCUGGAAACAGUCGCCCCGCAAGGUCGGUAUACAGGUGGUGCAUGGUUGUCGUCAGCUCGUGUCGUGAGAUGUUGGGUUAAGUCCCGCAACGGGCGCAACCCUCGUCCUAUGUUGCCAGCACGUAAUGGUGGGAACUCAUGGGAUACUGCCGGGGUCAACUCGGAGGAAGGUGGGGAUGACGUCAAAUCAUCAUGCCCCUUAUGUCUUGGGCUUCACGCAUGCUACAAUGGCCGGUACAAAGGGCUGCGAUACCGCAAGGUGGAGCGAAUCCCAAAAAGCCGGUCUCAGUUCGGAUUGAGGUCUGCAACUCGACCUCAUGAAGUCGGAGUCGCUAGUAAUCGCAGAUCAGCAACGCUGCGGUGAAUACGUUCCCGGGCCUUGUACACA